CCCCACCUAGCUCAACGGUAGAGCGUUCGGCUGUAGACCGAAAGGUUCCCGGUUCAAAUCCGGGGGUGGGGA
rnacentral:tRNA from 1 species